rnacentral:sRNA from 1 species
ACAUCGAUGGGGCUCGCAAAUGCUGCAA